ensembl:snoRNA
UGGUCCUGGACUAUGCUUUGUCUGCCUGCUGCGCAUAGCUCUAACAGCAGAAUCUGAGGGGACAUAUAAGCAAUCUCCCUCUCCAUGUAAGAGGGCCAUGCUGAGCACAGGGCUGGCUCUUAAAGGCACGAGAGACACU